AUUGAACGCUGGCGGCAGGCCUAACACAUGCAAGUCGAACGAGUGGCGGACGGGUGAGUAAUGUCUGGGAAACUGCCUGAUGGAGGGGGAUAACUACUGGAAACGGUAGCUAAUACCGCAUACCAUCAGAUGUGCCCAGAUGGGAGUAGCUUGUUGGGGGGGUAACGGCUCACCAAGGCGACGAUCCCUAGCUGGUCUGAGAGGAUGACCAGCCACACUGGCACUGUGACACGGGCCAGACUCCUACGGGAGGCAGCAGUGGGGAAUAUUGGACAAUGGGCGCAAGCCUGAAGCAGCCAUGCCGCGUGUAUGAAGAAGGGCUUCGGAUUGUAAAGCACUUUAAGUUGGGAGGCGUUACCAACAGAAUAAGCACCGGCUAACUUCGUGCCAGCAGCCGCGGUAAUAC
rnacentral:rRNA from 1 species